rnacentral:lncRNA from 1 species
AGUAAGGUAAUGCUGAGACUUUUCCAGCAUACGUGAUGCGCUGGGACUUUUACCAACACAUCAGUGACAUACUGGCAUCUACUACCAUUCUGACUGACUGGCCGGUACAAGAUGGGGUCUGUAAUUCCUACUCCAAGGUAGCUUUAGUUUGGAAACAAUGGAAUUUUACCUGUGGAUGUAGCAAGGUUCCCGCCCAAGCAUUGCGCAUCGUGUGUUUAUCCAUUAGAGCUUUGGUCGGGCAAGGCCUGGAUCAGUAACAAAUGUAAAUAGGCAUAGAAAUGACCGCGCUCUUCAUGGUUUGGCGGUCAGGCUGUUAUGUCUUCCCAAAAUUUUCUGUUUAAUGAUGUGUUGUUGGUUCGGUUAGCUGGUGAGUUCUGUCCUGGAAACUGAAAUCGAGCAUCAAAAGAGAUUUUUUACCCUGCUAGAUAUCUGCACUUGUGCUGUGAUGUGAUUAGCUUGGAAAUGUAAGGUUGAUGCUAAAAUCGUUGCGUUCCUUGGAUUGCUGCAGUUCUAGAUGAUGGAUCACCCCUGGACGAGUCUGUCAGUGUGUGUCUGGAUGCAAGUGUGCAAUGUUGCAGGCUCACAAUGGGAUUAAAUGUUUGUUGAGAGGGAGACGGGAAGCUAAAUAGUACUCCCUCCGUCCCAUGAUAUAAGAGCGUUUUUGACACUAGUGUAGUGUCAAAAACGCUCUUAUAUUAUGGGACGGAGGGAGUACUACAAACUUUCGAAGGCCGCCAUGUAAGGGCUCGGCUUAAUAGAGGAGAGAAAGACAAAAGACAAGAGACGCU